rnacentral:rRNA from 1 species
GACGAACGCUGGCGGCGUGCCUAAUACAUGCAAGUAGAACGCACAGUUUAUACCGUAGCUUGCUACACCAUAGACUGUGAGUUGCGAACGUGUGAGUAACGCGUAGGUAACCUGCCUGGUAGCGGGGGAUAACUAUUGGAAACGAUAGCUAAUACCGCAUAAUAUUAAUUAUUGCAUGAUAAUUAAUUGAAAGGUGCAAUUGCACCACUACCAGAUGGACCUGCGUUGUAUUAGCUAGUAGGUGAGGUAACGGCUCACCUAGGCGACGAUACAUAGCCGACCUGAGAGGGUGAUCGGCCACACUGGGACUGAGACACGGCCCAGACUCCUACGGGAGGCAGCAGUAGGGAAUCUUCGGCAAUGGACGAAAGUCUGACCGAGCAACGCCGCGUGAGUGAAGAAGGUUUUCGGAUCGUAAAGCUCUGUUGUAAGAGAAGAACGGGUGUGAGAGUGGAAAGUUCACACUGUGACGGUAUCUUACCAGAAAGGGACGGCUAACUACGUG